rnacentral:rRNA from 1 species
AUACGGAGGGUGCAAGCGUUACUCGGAAUCACUGGGCGUAAAGGACGCGUAGGCGGGAUGCCAAGUCUGAUGUGAAAUCCUACAGCUCAACUGUAGAACUGCAUUGGAAACUGGUAACCUAGAGUAUGGGAGGGGAAGAUGGAAUUAGUGGUGUAGGGGUAAAAUCCGUAGAUAUCACUAGGAAUACCUAAAGCGAAGGCGAUCUCCUGGAACAAUACUGACGCUAAGGCGUGAAAGCGUGGGGAGCAAACGGGAUUAGAUACCCCAGUAGUCC